GCCAUGCUGAAGAGAGCACGAGCCCGGGGCCACGCUGUUCGGGGAGGAAUUCUGCAGCGGAAGGGUUGUGGCACCGGUGACGAGCGAUGGGGUAUGAUGUUACGCACUUCCAGCAGGAAGUUGAUGAAA